AAUGAAAAUUACAUGGUUCAUCGAUCACCUAGUUGCAAAAAUCUAGCCUAUCAUGAUAAAAAUAACGAAAACUAACAAAAUAAAACUAAAAUACAUCACCGGGUUAUCAAAGAUUGAAGAAUUCUCGUAAAUCUCGCAUCAAUUGCUUGUUCUUGCCUUCAAUUCCACUCCAAGAAUGAAUGCUUUUGCCUCCCAAGUCGUUCGUGCGGCUUUUGGACGUCUUGUUGCUAUUUAAACCCGUCCAAAUUAGGUUAUCAAAGGAGUUGCAAUCGUAUAAGGAAAGUGCAAAAUUCGAGAAAAUUUAUACCUAUGCGACCGCAUAGGUUUAAGGAAAACGUCCUUUUUAAUCCCUGGAGGUUCACUCGCGGUCGCAUAGGUUUUAUACUAUGCGACCGCAUAGUGGAGUUACUUUCUUGUUUGAAUCAUUUUGGUCCUCAAGUUUCAUUCAUUCACUCCUUGACCUCCUCUCUUGUUCCUAGUUGCUCCAAUGGUCCCUUAUAACUUCCAAUUGGUGCUUGGCUUGAUCAAUUGCUUGAUGUGUUCAUCGGAUCAACU
rnacentral:lncRNA from 1 species